UGAUGAGGACAUCCUCCACUAUUACCCGUUGGCAAAGACGCAAUUGGCCCAGUUGGCCCAAUUGUAGUCGGACGGUGACCGUGUGAGCCUCAGAAUUAUCCCACCUCGCUUAACUUGGGAGGAGGAAGCCACUUUAAAAAGGGAGAGCCACCCUUCCCCCAUUGGACUAGUCUUUUGGGGCGAUUGGGCCUUUCCCUGAGUUGGGUGUGCUUAAUGAACUGUUGGGCUCCGGGCAACCCUAAUUUGUUGGGCCUCGGCCAACCCCACCUGGGCUGGGUGUAUCAUCUGGUAUCAGAGCUAGGGCCCAUUUUAAGAAGGUGCGAAUGAUGAGGACAUCCUCCACUAUUACCCGUUGGCAAAGACGCAAUUGGCCCAAUUGGCCCAAUUGUAGUCGGACGACGACCGUGUGAGCCUCAGAAUUAUCCCACCUUGCUUAACUUGGGAGGAGGAAGCCACUUUAAGGGUUGAUUUGGUGAUCCGGGAUCCCGGGAGGAUCGGAGGGGAUUGAGGGGGAAAUUAGUUCAUUUCCCCCUCAACCCCCUCUAAUCCUCACGGGAUCCCCUUGUCACCAAAUCAACCCUAAAAGGGAGAGCCACCCUUCCCCCAUUGGGCUAGUCUUUUGGGGCGAUUGGGCCUUUCCCUGAGUUGGGUGUGCUUAAUGAACUGUUGGGCUCCGGGCAACCCCAAUCGCCCCAAAAGACUAGUCCAAUGGGGGAAGGGUGGCUCUCCCUUUUUAAAGUGGCUUCCUCCUCCAAAGUUAAGCGAGGUGGGAUAAUUCUGAGGCUCACACGGUCACUGUCCGACUACAAUUGGGCCAACUGGGCCAAUUGCGUCUUUGCCAACGGGUAAUAGUGGAGGAUGUCCUCAUCAUUCCCACCUUCUGAAAAUGGGCCCUAGCUUUGAUACCAGAUGAUGCACCCAGCCCAGGUGGGGUUGGCCGAGGCCCAACAAAUUAGGGUUGCCCGGAGCCCAACAGUUCAUUAAGCACACCCAACUCAGGGAAAGGCCCAAUCGCUCCAAAAGACUAGCCCAAUGGGGGAAGGGUGGCUCUCCCUUUUAAAGUGGCUUCCUCCUCCCAAGUUAAGCGAGGUGGGAUAAUUCUGAGGCUCACACGG
rnacentral:lncRNA from 1 species